rnacentral:rRNA from 1 species
UAGGGAAUCUUCGGCAAUGGACGAAAGUCUGACCGAGCAACGCCGCGUGAGUGAAGAAGGUUUUCGGAUCGUAAAACUCUGUUGGUAGAGAAGAACGUUGGUGAGAGUGGAAAGCUCAUCAAGUGACGGUAACUACCCAGAAAGGGACGGCUAACUACGUGCCAGCAGCCGCGGUAAUACGUAGGUCCCGAGCGUUGUCCGGAUUUAUUGGGCGUAAAGCGAGCGCAGGUGGUUUAUUAAGUCUGGUGUAAAAGGCAGUGGCUCAACCAUUGUAUGCAUUGGAAACUGGUAGACUUGAGUGCAGGAGAGGAGAGUGGAAUUCCAUGUGUAGCGGUGAAAUGCGUAGAUAUAUGGAGGAACACCGGUGGCGAAAGCGGCUCUCUGGCCUGUAACUGACACUGAGGCUCGAAAGCGUGGGGGAGCAAACAGGAUUAGAUAC